UACGAAGGGUGCAAGCGUUACUCGGAAUUACUGGGCGUAAAGCGUGCGUAGGCGGUUUGUUAAGUCCGUUGUGAAAGCCCCGGGCUUAACCUGGGAAUUGCGAUGGAGACUGCAAGGCUUGAAUCUGGCAGAGGGGGGUAGAAUUCCACGUGGUAGCAGUGAAAUGCGUAGAGAUGUGGAGGAACACCGAUGGCGAAGGCAGCCCCCUGGGUCAAGAUUGACGCUCGAUGCACGAAAGCGUGGGGAGCAAACAGGA
rnacentral:rRNA from 1 species